UUGACAAGACCUUCGGACUUGUGCCUACGUACCAACAUAAAAAUGAGGGAUCAAAACCUCGUAGUUCGUGAUACAAAUUUCAAAGUGGAUGCAUUGUUUUUAACAAAAAUUAAGUUUGAAAGGCACAGAGGCCUAAAAAUGGUUUGAAUGAGUUAGUUCUUUUUGGCUUUUUGAAAGUUUAAGUCAAGUAUAAUUAAGUCUAUUUACAAGUUUGAUUAAGAAAAG
rnacentral:lncRNA from 1 species